rnacentral:rRNA from 1 species
CCUACGGGGGGCAGCAGUGGGGAAUAUUGGACAAUGGGGGGAACCCUGAUCCAGCCAUGCCGCGUGUGUGAAGAAGGCCUCGGGUUGUAAAGCACUUUCAGUGAGGAAGAACGCCUGGUGGUUAAUACCCAUCAGGAAAGACAUCACUCACAGAAGAAGCACCGGCUAACUCCGUGCCAGCAGCCGCGGUAAUACGGAGGGUGCGAGCGUUAAUCGGAAUUACUGGGCGUAAAGCGCGCGUAGGUGGCUUGAUAAGCCGGUUGUGAAAGCCCCGGGCUCAACCUGGGAACGGCAUCCGGAACUGUCAAGCUAGAGUGCAGGAGAGGAAGGUAGAAUUCCCGGUGUAGCGGUGAAAUGCGUAGAGAUCGGGAGGAAUACCAGUGGCGAAGGCGGCCUUCUGGACUGACACUGACACUGAGGUGCGAAAGCGUGGGUAGCAAACAGGAUUAGAUACCCCGGUAGUC